UCAGUCCAUUUGACCCAUAGCCCACUGGAGUCACCUGCAAUGGUGCUACAACCAAAGGUCCUCCCUUUCAAACCAGGCCCUCCUGGAACUAUCGCCACUCUCGGCCAGGACAUACUGCUUCCUCCGUCUUCAUUUACUGUCUCUUUAGCACAUGACAAGCAUAAAAGCUUACAACAUCAAGAGCUCCCACUGCAUUCUACGCAUUUCACUUCCCACCCUCUCAAAACACAAGGUGUACAUGAGAGAUUACCUGAGCAGGAUGAGGAGAAUGAGGAAGAUGAGACUGUAGAUGUGGAGCAAACAGAAAAUCUCACAAAAUAACUACUAGAUAUUAGACUGGAAAUGCAACGAUACCAGCAAGACAGAAAACAGCUACAGACAUGGCGUAAGCUCCAAAAAGUCUUGACUAACUGGCUCGAAACAACAGGCAUUGAGGGAGAAACUGAGGAACGAGAAAGCAUUUUAAAUGACUUGAGAGUCGCAUUUCUUCUCUAUCUUCGAGAUUAAACAAACA
rnacentral:lncRNA from 1 species